GACGAACGCUGGCGGCGUGCCUAAUACAUGCAAGUAGAACGCACAGUUUAUACCGUAGCUUGCUACACCAUAGACUGUGAGUUGCGAACGGGUGAGUAACGCGUAGGUAACCUGCCUGGUAGCGGGGGAUAACUAUUGGAAACGAUAGCUAAUACCGCAUAAUAUUGAUUAUUGCAUGAUAAUUGAUUGAAAGAUGCUAUUGCAUCACUACCAGAUGGACCUGCGUUGUAUUAGCUAGUAGGUGAGGUAACGGCUCACCUAGGCGACGAUACAUAGCCGACCUGAGAGGGUGAGCGGCCACACUGGGACUGAGACACGGCACAGACUCCUACGGGAGGCAGCAGGAGGGAAUCUUCGGCAAUGGACGAAAGUCUGACCGAGCAACGCCGCGUGAGUGAAGAAGGGUUUCGGAUCGUAAAGCUCUGUUGUAAGAGAAGAACGGGUGUGAGAGUGGAAAGUUCACACUGUGACGGUAUCUUACCAGAAAGGGACGGCUAACUACGUG
rnacentral:rRNA from 1 species